GACGAACGCUGACGGCGUGCUUAACACAUGCAAGUCGAAGGGAGUGGCGAACGGGUGAGUAACACGUGAGUAACCUGCCCUUUGCUUUGGGAUAAGCCUGGGAAACUGGGUCUAAUACUGGAUGGAUUGGGAUGGGCUCGCGGCUUAUUAGCUUGUUGGUGGGGUGAUGGCUUACCAAGGCUUUGGAGGGUAGCCGGCCUGAGAGGGUGGUCUGUCACACUGGGACUGUGUUGCGUCCCAGACUGUUACUGGAGGCAGCAGUGUUGGAUAUUGCACAAUGGACGAAAGUCUGAUGCAGCGACGUCGUGUGGGGGAUGAAGGCCUUCGGGUUGUAAACUCCUUUCGCCCGCGGAAUGGUAGUGGGUAAAGAAGCGCCGGCUAACUACGUGCCAGCAGCCGCGGUAAUAC
rnacentral:rRNA from 1 species